GUGGUUGUGGCUCAGCAGUAGAGCGCUCGCCUAGCAUGUGUGAGGUGCUGGGUUUGAUCCUCGGCACCACA
rnacentral:tRNA from 1 species